rnacentral:lncRNA from 10 species
GCUCCAGCCUUGGCCAGCCCAGAAAGGGAAUCCCACAGUGCAGUGGGGGGCUGAAGGGCUCCUCAAAUGCCACCAAAGUGGGAGCCCAGGCAGGGGAGGUGCCGAGAGAGCAAGCGAGGGCUCUGAGGACUGCCAGCACGCUGUCACCUCUCAAUUUUACAAGCAACUUACUUCUCCAAGACCAGGUGGAUAUGAUUCAUGCUCUGAAACUAUGUAUGUCCAUCUACUUCAAACUGAAGCUGUCAUUUAAUUUGCAUUCCAUCAAUUGAAUCAGAUAAUAGGCUCUAUUGUAGCCUGUAAAACUGACAAUGUCUCCUUUCUUCAAGUCGCAUUGACGUAAGAAGAGUUGUAUUUUUAUAGAAAGAAAAUAUUUUGCCUAAUCGCCUUCAAAGGAGCCUUGUACACAAUCUCUAGGUGAGGAAUGACUUUGUAAUCCGAGGCAUAAGGUAAUUGUAAAUGAUAAGUCACCUAUUAUCUAUUAGAGUUCAGAAUGACUCAAAAGUUAAAGUGAUUCAUGUGUUUUGCUGAUGGAUAAGAAAGAUGUUUUGAAAAAUAGGAAAUAGGCUCUUUCCUAGAAUACCUAUAAUAUACUUAAACAUGUAAUGCACAUACAUAAUGUAUAUCAUUAUGAGAUGAAUUGUGUCUCACAAAAUUCAUAACUUAAAGCUGUAACCCGCAGUACUUUGAAUGUGACUGUAUUCAGAGAAAGAACGUUCACAGAGGUGAGUUACUAUGAGGGUGUAGGGUGGGCCCUAAUUCAGACUAGUGUUCUUAUAGAGGAGAGUGUGCACAGAGGAGAGAUCAUGUGAGGACACAGCGAGAAGACAAUCAUCUGUAAGCCAAGGAGAGAGGCCUCAGAAAAAAAUCCACCCUGCUAAGAGCUUGAUCUUGGACUUACAGCCUCCAGGACUGAUGGAGUGAUGGAGUGCAGGGGCGUGACCUCAGCUCACUGCAACCUUCACCUCCCAGGUUCAAGUGAUUCUCCUGCCUCUGCCUCCCGAAUAGCUGGGAUUACAGGUAUGCACUACUACACUGGGCUAAGUUUUGUAUUUUCAGUAGAGAUGGGGUUUCACCACUUGGCCAGGCUGGUCUCGAACUUCUGACCUCAAGCAAUCCUCCCGCCUUAGGCUCCCAAAGUGGUGGGAUUACAGGCCUGAACCACAGGGCCCAGCCUUGGCUUGUGGUUCUUUUACUAAAUAUGGAAUAGCGAUAAAGCUUAUGUAUCAUAUUUGUAAAAGAAAGCUAGGCACAUGAAGCAGAAUUAAUUCAUGAGGGAAAAUAUUUAUUUUACUCUCAAGUCUCCCGAAAGUUAUUGUAUUCAUUUAAACUCAAUUUCUAAUUUUUUUAGUUACCCAAAUACUAUUGCAUUAAAUGCAUUAAAGAGAGCAUUGUACCUAGCAGAUAUGUGAGAAACAGUUUGACUUUUUAACCACUAAAAAAUGUCCAAAUAUCAGAAUUUAUUUUAUUUUAAAUUUCAAAAAAAUCCUUAUUUUAUAUGAUAAAAAUCAAGUUGAUUUGUAAGUCAUAUAUAUCAGCUUAUUAUCAAGAACUAUUGCUAUGUAAAAGAACUUAGGACUGUGUAAUUAGAACUAUGUAAUAGAAAUAUUUACAGAAGACUAUAUCUGCCAACAUGAGAUACUCUACCACCAUAACUUAUAUCAAUGACUCUUGUUCUAUCAUCGUGUGCAUUAUAAAUAGUGCAAAAUUUCAAGAAAUUUCCAUUUUGAGAUAUAAGAAAUCAAUAUGCUGGGAAAACUAAUAUCAAACUCUGAAGUAGAUAUAUUUCAUUUUAUAUAUAUUUUAAAUGACCUUUAACUAAAGGUUAAAUUGGAUUGACACACUGAAGAUAAAUUUUUUUAUUAUUAUCAUCAUUAAAUUAUUAUUUUGUGACUAUUACUAUUCAACUAACACUACAUCUGAUAAUAUAAUGAUAAACACAUUCCUUUUUUAUAUUAACUAGCAUUUUUUUCGAGUUUCUUAAAGCUUUGUUUGCAACUCUGGAUGAUUUAUGUGGGACAUGAUAAAACCAAUCUCCACACAGGCUAAUUUGAGACCUGGCAUCAUUGUCUCUCUCUGAACAAUCUGGAAGCUUUUUUAUGGUAGUGAAUUGCUCAUUUGGGGUGCGAGGAUUGAAGCAGGCAAGUGUCUGGGUCAUUAUGUGCUCAGCCAUGUCUUACAUAGGUGUUUGGAUUUGUAUAGCACUGGUUAAUCUGUAAUGUGUUUUAAUUUAGAGACAUAAAUUCUGGCCAGAAUUCUAUGCUUUAAUUAAAUAGUGUCAAGGGAUUGAUCGCAGCAUAUUGAUCCAUAACUGAACAUUUUAUCCAUGAAGUCACAGGUCCAGUGAGUCAUCAUUGCCUAGAAUACCCUACUUCAAACAAUGAAACUCACUUUCAAUCUAUCAUCAUCUUUCACUCUUCAGUGAAACCCCAUGUAGCUUCCAGAUGUGGUUUCAGGAUUUCUCUAUAUUGUUGGAGAGAACAAGAACCUGAGACCUGCCGAACAGCAGGUGCCAAAGAUGCUGCUGUAACACCACAGCCCUCCCAUCUUCCAUCCUCCACUGGCGCUGAGUGGCAGUCCCAUGUGACAGGAAGUGGAGGCAGAGCUGGGCCAGCCCAGGAGCCACGUGCUGGAGCCAGAUACUCUGUUUUUCUACAAAUGGAAAGUUUGUGGCAUCCUUGACUCAAGCAAAUUUUUCAGCACCAUUUUUCAAGAGCGUGUGCUCACUUCACCUCUCUGUAUCGUGUUUUGAUGCUUGUCCUGGAAACCAACCAUGAGCUGUGAUGAAAUCCAGGCAACUGAGUUGUGUUUCAGCCCAAAGCAGCAAAUGGAAUCCAGCUUCAGGACCAUCAUCUGACAUAGGGGAAGAAGACUUACAUAGAAGGCCUAACCAGCACCCAAGAUCAUGCUCAUAGGUGGAGGAGACUUGCUUUGUCUCAGAUGAGACUUUGGACUGUGGACUUUUGAGUUAAUGCUGAAAUGAGUUGAGACUUUGGGGAACUGUUGGGAAGGCAUGAUUGGUUUUAAAUAUGAAUAUAUGAGAUUUGGGAGGGGGUCAGGGGUGGAAUGAUAUGGUUUGGCUCUGUGUCCCCACCCAAAUCUCAUCUUGUAGCUCCCAUAAUCCUCCCAUGUUGUGGGAGGGACCCAGUGGGAGAUGAUUGAAUCAUGAGGGCGGGUCUUUCUCAUGCUGUUCAUGAUCCCAUUCAUGUGAGAAAGACCCAUGUGAUCAUGAAUGGGUCUCACAAGAUCUGAUGGUGUUAAAAAUGGGAGUUUCUCUGCACAAGCUCUCUGCCUGCUGCCAUUCACAAAGGAUGUGACUUGCUUCUCCUUGCCUUCUGCUAUGAUUGUGAGGCCUCCCUAGCCAUGUGGAACUGUGAGUCCAAUUAAACCUCUUUCUUUUGUAAAUU